rnacentral:rRNA from 1 species
UGGGGAAUAUUGGACAAUGGGGGCAACCCUGAUCCAGCAAUGCCGCGUGAGUGAUGAAGGCCUUAGGGUUGUAAAGCUCUUUCGGCGGGGACGAUGAUGACGGUACCCGCAGAAGAAGCCCCGGCUAACUUCGUGCCAGCAGCCGCGGUAAUACGAAGGGGGCGAGCGUUGUUCGGAAUUACUGGGCGUAAAGGGCGCGCAGGCGGCUCUGAAAGUCAGAUGUGAAAGCCCCGGGCUUAACCUGGGAACUGCAUUUGAUACUCUGGAGCUUGAGUACGGGAGAGGAGAGUGGAAUUCCCAGUGUAGAGGUGAAAUUCGUAGAUAUUGGGAAGAACACCGGUGGCGAAGGCGGCUCUCUGGACCGUAACUGACGCUGAGGCGCGAAAGCGUGGGGAGCAAACAGGAUUAGAUACCCUGGUAGUCCACGCCGUAAACGAUGUGCGCUAGACGUUGGAAGGCUUAGCCUUUCGGUGUCGCAGCUAACGCGAUAAGCGCACCGCCUGGGGAGUACGGCCGCAA